ACCGGCGCACGGGUGAGUAACGCGUAUACAAUUUACCUUUUACAGGAGGAUAGCCCAGAGAAAUUUGGAUUAAUACUCCAUAGUAUUAUUUGAUCACCUGGUCGAGUAAUUAAAGUUCCGGCGGUAAAAGAUGAGUAUGCGUCCUAUUAGCUAGAUGGUAAGGUAACGGCUUACCAUGGCGACGAUAGGUAGGGGUCCUGAGAGGGAGAUCCCCCACACUGGUACUGAGACACGGACCAGACUCCUACGGGAGGCAGCAGUGAGGAAUAUUGGGCAAUGGAGGCAACUCUGACCCAGCCAUGCCGCGUGCAGGAAGACUGCCCUAUGGGUUGUAAACUGCUUUUAUACAGGAAGAAACUUACCCACGUGUGGGUAACUGACGGUACUGUAAGAAUAAGGACCGGCUAACUCCGUGCCAGCAGCCGCGGUAAUACGGAGGGUCCAAGCGUUAUCCGGAAUCAUUGGGUUUAAAGGGUCCGUAGGCGGGCGAUUAAGUCAGAGGUGAAAUCCCACAGCUUAACUGUGGAACUGCCUUUGAUACUGGUUGUCUUGAGUUAUAGUGAAGUAGAUAGAAUAUGUAGUGUAGCGGUGAAAUGCAUAGAUAUUACAUAGAAUACCGAUUGCGAAGGCAGUCUACUAACUGUAUACUGA
rnacentral:rRNA from 1 species